rnacentral:misc_RNA from 1 species
CUACGCGGAUAUACGUAAGCAAGCGAUGAUGCAACGGUUCUUACAAGCGACCUUGGACCCUUCCUGAUGGACCCUUCCAGAUCGACCCUUCCUGAUGACGGUUUACAUUCCUGACUUUCCCAUCGUUCGGGGCAUUCUGGGGCUGUUUUGGCUAUUGGUUGCUUGUUUGGUCUUGAGCCGAACGGGUGGCUUCUAGCCUGGUGGCUUCGGGGAUGUUGACCGUAAAGGUGGAUGAGUGGUGUUUGGUUUGUCACGUGUGGUUGGCUGCGGCGUUUGCAACAACUUCCAUGCUUUCAGACCUCUUCAGUUGUGCGUCAAGGCUUGUAUCGCCUUGCCGUAUUGCGGGUUUUCUGUGUUGAAUACCUAAUCAAUGGUAUCGGUUGGAUUGAUCAAUGUUUCAUUUCGUCUGUCGUUGCAUUUGCGGCGUGAGACGAACCUUGAUGCGGUCUCUUUGGUCCACCUCGUCGAAGCACAUGCUUUGACGUUGUGGCACAUUGAGCAUUGCUUGGUCUCUUGUAUACGGAACAUACAUUGAGCACAUGCUUUGACGGGGUAUUGUAAGUGGCAGAGUGGCCUUGUUUGGUCAUGUUCCUGUCACUUAAGUUUUUGUCCAAUAAGUAUAUAUAGGGGGGGUGGAGUAUUUGGAGGCAAGGAUGCACGGGCACCGGUCGGCCUAUGGAACCACUGUUGUGUGCUCCGUGCAUUACGUCGAAGGCAAAUACGCUCUCCUAAUCGGUGUGGGCUUGCACGCACCGGUGGGGCUUGAUAGAAAUUCAAGCCUUGACGCUGUAGCCUAACGAGAAAGCGACGAUGACCCGAAGAGACCCAGAUCGUGAAAGA